UACAGAGGUGGCAAGCGUUGUUCGGAAUUACUGGGCGUAAAGGGCGCGUAGGCGGCCUGCUAAGUCGAACGUGAAAUCCCUGGGCUCAACCCAGGAACUGCGUCCGAUACUGGUUGGCUUGAAUCCGGGAGAGGGACGUGGAAUUCCAGGUGUAGCGGUGAAAUGCGUAGAUAUCAGGAGGAACACCUGUGGUGUAGACAGCUUACUGGACCAUUUCUGACGCUGAGACACGAAAGCGUGGGGAGCAAACAGG
rnacentral:rRNA from 1 species